rnacentral:misc_RNA from 1 species
AACCAUAGAAACCUGCGGAGUACCUGCGGAGGGAUCAUUAUAGUUUAUGGAAUCUCCAUUCUAUAAACCCACUCUGCGUAUCUUGUAACUGUUGCUUCCAUGGGACUUGGUUCCGCCACACCGGCUUCACGGCUGGUGAGCGCCCAUGGAAGGAGAAACAAAACUCUUCUUUGAAAUGUAGUCAGUCUGAACAAGUUUUUAUAAACGUUAAAACUUUCAGCAAUGGAUCUCAGAUCGGAA